rnacentral:rRNA from 1 species
CCUACGGGGGGCUGCAGUGGGGAAUAUUGGACAAUGGGGGCAACCCUGAUCCAGCCAUGCCGCGUGUGUGAAGAAGGCCCUCGGGUUGUAAAGCACUUUCAGUGAGGAAGAACGCCUGGUGGUUAAUACCCAUCAGGAAAGACAUCACUCACAGAAGAAGCACCGGCUCAACUCCGUGCCAGCAGCCGCGGUGAUACGGAGGGUGCGAGCGUUAAUCGGAAUUACUGGGCGUAAAGCGCGCGUAGGUGGCUUGAUAAGCCGGUUGUGAAAGCCCCGGGCUCAACCUGGGAACGGCAUCCGGAACUGUCAAGCUAGAGUGCAGGAGAGGAAGGUAGAAUUCCCGGUGUAGCGGUGAAAUGCGUAGAGAUCGGGAGGAAUACCAGUGGCGAAGGCGGCCUUCUGGACUGACACUGACACUGAGGUGCGAAAGCGUGGGUAGCAAACAGGAUUAGAUACCCUAGUAGUC